CUGGUCACUUAGUGAUGGCUAUAACAUACAAGAAGUUCAAAAUAAACAAGAAGAAAAUGGAACAACUAAUAAUCCACAGAAACCAAACUGUGGAAUGAAGAAAAAUCAUUGCCAAUUCAUCACAAAAAUCUGGUAGGAGUCAAACCAGAUAGCAGAGCAUAAGAGCUCUCUUAAUCUUCUGCCCAAAUAUCUGAGGGUACAGCCAGGUUUUGAGUACCUUACAAAAGACUAGCAAGUACAAGUAUUUUGUGGUGGAAGUUAUCAUAAGAUACAAGCUGUGAGUAAUGUCUUGGCAAGUCCAGUUCCUUAGUUGGCAAAGAAGCAACUGGAAGAGCAAACAAUAGGAUCACUGGAUAAGAUGUCCAUUUACAAAUAUUUAAAGAUGUUGCAUCUGGAGGCCGCACA